UGAGUACGAGACGCUAAGGCGUCGAAGUAGUGGAUGUCAUACUUCCAAGAAAAGCUUGCACUGUCAUAAAUAGAAAAUGCCUGUACCAUAACCGACACAGGUGGGUAAGUAGAGUAUACUAAGGGGCGCGAGAUAACUCUCUCUAAGGAACUCGGCAAAAUAACUCCGUAACUUCGGGAGAAGGAGUGCCUUAUUCUUAAGGUUGCAAUAACAAGAUCCAAGCAACUGUUUAUCAAAAACACAGGUCUCCGCUAAGUCGUAAGACGAUGUAUGGGGGCUGACGCCUGCCCAGUGCCAGAAGGUUAAAGAAGUCGGUUAGCAAUAGCAAAGCUGGUAACUGAAGCCCUGGUGAACGGCGGCCGUAACAAUAACGGUCCUAAGGUAGCGAAAUUCCUUGUCGGGUAAGUUCCGACCCGCACGAAAGGCGUAAUGAUUUGGAUGCUGUCUCGGAGAGGGGCUCGGUGAAAUAGACUUGUCUGUGAAGAUGCGGACUACCUGCACCAGGACAGAAAGACCCUAUGAAGCUUUACUGUAACUUGAAAUUGAAAUUGGACUUUAUUCGCGCAGUAUAGGUGGGAGGCGUUGAUUAUAAUCUUGUGGGAUUAUUGGAGCCAUCAGUGAGAUACCACUCUUGUAAUGUUAGAUUUCUAACUUUGAAUCAUUAUCUGGUCAAAGGACAGUUUCAGGCGGGCAGUUUGACUGGGGCGGUCGCCUCCUAAACGGUAACGGAGGCGUACAAAGGUUUCCUCUGAACGGUUAGAAAUCGUAUCUAGAGUGUAAAGGCAUAAGGAAGCUUGACUGUGAGACCUACAAGUCGAGCAGGGACGAAAGCCGGUCUUAGUGAUCUGACGGUACUGAGUGGAAAGGCCGUCACUCAACGGAUAAAAGUUACUCUAGGAUAACAGGCUGAUCUCCCCCAAGAGUUCACAUCGACGGGGAGGUUUGGCACCUCGAUGUCGGCUCAUCGCAUCCUGGGGCGGUAGUACGUCCCAAGGGUUGGGCUGUUCGCCCAUGAAAGCGGUACGCGAGCUGGGUUCAGAACGUCGUGAGACAGUUCGGUCCAUAUCCGGUGUAGGCGCUAGAAUAUUGAGAGGAGCCUUCUUUAGUACGAGAGGACCGAGAAGGACAUACCUCUGGUGUACCAGUUAUCGUGCCAACGGUAAGCGCUGGGUAGCUAUGUAUGGAGUGGAUAACCGCUGAAAGCAUCUAAGUGGGAAGCCCACCUCAAGAUAAGUAUUCUCAUCACGUAAGUGAGUAAGGUCACGGUAAGACUAACCGUUUGAUAGGCAUUAAGUGUAAGUACAGUAAUGUAUGUGCUGAGAUGUCCUAAUAGACCGAGGACUU
rnacentral:rRNA from 1 species